CUGUGCAGCCGGGGUGUUAGCGGUACCUUGCACCUGCAAUCCGCUAUAGCAGGGGUGAUAUUGCGCAGAGGGCUUGUUUUUGCAGAGCUGCCCUUGGAAAGUGACGUUGAUGUUUGGGUCUUACGCGACGGGACUCCAUGAACCGUGUCAGGUCAGGAAUGAAGCAGCACUAAGCAAUCCUUCCUGUGUGACGCGAGGGUGCCUGAGCCUAGUUAACUGCUUUGGUAACGUCUUCUGAUUUUGAUUCGACAUGGGAUGCACGG
rnacentral:SRP_RNA from 1 species